UUCGCUUCUCAACUUUUGAAGGAGUCCGAGCCACAAGGUCCUUUCUAGCAAAGCUCAGUAAUAUAUUUUUUGAUUUGCAAUUUAAAAUAACAAUAUAAAUCCUAGAAAACAUUGAUCAUUACGUUUGAAUUUAAAAUUUGAACUGUGGUUGGGCCAACUCCGUAAAUUUAAAAUGAAUAAGUGCAGCCUUCUUUUUUCAAUCAUUGUCCUUACUUCGAGAUCCAUUGAAUGUAUGGAGGAUGAAUUUAUGCCAUCAAAAUAUGAUGAAGGGAAUUUUAGAGAGGAAGAAGAUUACCCAUCGUCCUUAGAAGGGCCCUAAAAGGAUAGUUAGGUAAAAUCCUUGUUCCAUCUUGUUGGAAAUUCUUGUUUUAUUCAUUCCUCCCAAAAUUUCGGUGAAGGUCUCCUUCUUGGCCUUCAAUAUGUCUUCCUACAAUCAAAAUAUACGACAAACGAUUGGUUGUCUCAAAUAUGAUGAAACCGGAUUAUUUCAUACUAAUUACUCGUACUUACAUCGUCUAAAAACUUUGGAAAAUGUUUAUUAUAGAGAUUAUGAUAGUGAAGCCAUGGUAAAAUGGAAGACUAAAGGAACAUGCCACCUACAGAUAUCAGUCCUAAGACCUAGAAUAACUUUCAUAAGAUUGCCAAACCACAUGUAUAUAGACUUGGAUCAUCUCUCAUGACAGAACAAUUAUUUUUUACAAAACAUCCAACUCAUCACGGACCUUCAAACGAGCUUGAACAUACGUUUAUAGCAAAUAAUAAAUAUUUCCUGGUUGAGAAUAUGAUGGAUAAGGAUAGCGAGAUAGGAAAUCACUGCAAUAUUUUCCAAUCUUCAUUGACCUAAAUAUUAAGUUCAAUAAAAGUUCUAAAAUCAUCUUUCAAGAGUUGUCCAUAUAAUAGGGAACAUAUUGCCACAAUCGAAGAAAUUGAUAGUCUGGUCCACAAAAUUUCGUCUAAUAUGGAAAAAGGAUCGACAAAAUAUAUAAGACAUAAAUCAUCUUCCACUCUUUACAAAAAUUAUUAUCAUAGUUCAAGGCGAAGAAGGAAUUACACCCCAGAGAAACGCGUAUCUUUUAAAAUGAGAAAAAUAUUAGUAGAUUAGAUAAAGAAAUUUAAAAGAGGUUUUUAAGGUUUAAGAAGUGUACAAGAUGCAACUUGUGUAAGAAAAUUGUACUAAUUGCAACCAAAAAAAUAAUCAGCAUAAUUUUAAAUGAAGGAUUUAGUGUACUUGGGAUAAAGAUAUUUCAAUAAUUGGAUACUCCGUGAAUUAUCGACCUAUAAGUGUUCUAAUUUUUGACUAUUUUUAUAAAAAUUACUAAAAUAUAACUAUUCUAUGGUACAUUAUGAAAUUCAAAUUCCCACAGUUAUAUUACUCAUAAAUACAUAAUAAACAAGUAAUUUUAAUAAAUCAAAAUAAAAUUAUAAUAUCAACGAAUAGUUGGUAAUUAAAAAGAUCAAUGUUGUACUUGGAUAUACAUUGUACAACAUGUACACAACAUAUAAACAUGCAUAUUUAUGCAUUUAUAAUACAUACAAGUACAGGGAAUUUUUGUUAUUAUUAAACUAUAAUUAAUAGUGCACGAUUUAUUGUAAUUGUUACAACCGUUUAGUUAGUCUAAAAGGACCAUGUUUAAUGGAGGUACAUGUUAUUAUUCGUAUUUAAUGCAUUAUUUAAUUAGUUUGAUGAUACUUUAUACAAUUCAUCUAACUCUUUUUCUCCAUG
rnacentral:misc_RNA from 1 species